CUCCCUCAAUCUUACUCCAGGGGCUUUUGCCUGCAGAGUGCCCUGGAAUUCCCUGAAGGUACAGGAAAAGCACAUUUCCCUCUUCAGGAAGACUGUUUUCAUUGUGACCUACAAGAUGAGCUGACAGU